rnacentral:rRNA from 1 species
GAUGAACGCUAGCUACAGGCUUAACACAUGCAAGUCGAGGGGCAGCAUGUCGGUUGCUUGCAACCGAUGAUGGCGACCGGCGCACGGGUGAGUAACGCGUAUCCAACCUACCCUUGUCCAUCGGAUAACCCGUCGAAAGGCGGCCUACCACGAUAUGCGGUUCACAGCAGGCAUCUAACGUGAACGAAAUGUGAAGGAGAAGGAUGGGGAUGCGUCUGAUUAGCUUGUUGGCGGGGUAACGGCCCACCAAGGCUACGAUCAGUAGGGGUUCUGAGAGGAAGGUCCCCCACAUUGGAACUGAGACACGGUCCAAACUCCUACGGGAGGCAGCAGUGAGGAAUAUUGGUCAAUGGACGAGAGUCUGAACCAGCCGAGUAGCGUGCAGGAUGACGGCCCUAUGGGUUGUAAACUGCUUUUAUAGGGGGAUAAAGUGUGCCACGUGUGGCAUAUUGCAGGUACCCUAUGAAUAAGGACCGGCUAAUUCCGUGCCAGCCGCCGCAGUAACAC